CCUACGGGAGGCAGCAGUGAGGAAUAUUGGUCAAUGGACGAGAGUCUGAACCAGCCAAGUAGCGUGAAGGAUGACUGCCCUAUGGGUUGUAAACUUCUUUUAUAAAGGAAUAAAACGAGGCACGUGUGCCUUUUUGCAUGUACUUUGUGAAUAAGGAUCGGCUAACUCCGUGCCAGCAGCCGCGGUAAUACGUAGGAUCCGAGCGUUAUCCGGAUUUAUUGGGUUUAAAGGGAGCGUAGAUGGGGUGUUAAGUCAGUUGUUAAAGUUUGCGGCUCAACCGUAACAGUGCAAUUGAUACUGGCAGUCUUGAGUACAGUUGAGGUAGGCGGAAUUCGUGGUGUAGCGGUGAAAUGCUUAGAUAUCACGAAGAACCCCGAUUGCGAAGGCAGCUUACUAAACUGUGACUGACAUUGAUGCUCGAAAGUGUGGGUAUCAAACAGGAUUAGAUACCCUUGUAGUC
rnacentral:rRNA from 1 species